AACAGAGCUGAGUUGGCACUUCAAAGGACUCUUGCAGCCUUGUUCCAGAGCUACAAUAAAUCGUACCUCAUAGAGUAACACAUAUGCCCAGGGAUUUUUCUCAGCGAGAACUCACAGGAACUCAGUUCUGGUUCCUCUCAGGUGGGUGCCUUUUCCAUUAUAACACAAGGGAGGUGUUCAUGGUGAGUUCCGGCACCGUUUUUCCUAGAAAAAUAGCACUGCAUACACCUCUCAUUGAAAAAGCAUUAAAUGUAUGCUGAAAUGGUGAAAAUGACCAGGAGGAUCAGAAACCAGGAAGAUAAGAACUUUAAUAAGGAAUGGGGGAAAUUUCAUAAGUUACCUUGGAGAACACUGCAAACAACUAAAUACAUUGUUAUAACACUUGUAAAGUAACAAGAACUAUGGCAAAAAUGAGAGUUUCUAAGAAAAAUGGAAGAAAUUAUAAGAUGCAGGUGAAAAAGAUUAACAAUGGAACCCAUUUAGGGGGGAUGGAAGUCUAAGGAUAUUUCAAUGUAAAUAUUUUUUGUAAAACUGAAUAUAUAUUUUUUUAAGCAUUAAAUGUGUAGAGUGACUCUGUUCCUUUUGAGUUGUAUUGCGUAUUGCAAUACCCUAAUUUGUCAAUAGGCUUCAACUUCAAAAAGGGAACAUUAGGAUGUACAUCCCUUUCUGUCACCAUGGGGGGGAAACCUGGCUGCAGCCAAAAGCUGUAGAAGUUUCUCCAGUAGCAGAUCCUGAGUAACUUGACUUCACCACUGAAGUAGAACUGAUUGCAUGUCUGCUUUGCAGGAGCAGAGAGCCAGCCUUUUGCACGCCAAAGAACUGUGACUGUUCCUGUUGUGCUAACCAGAGCAGAAAAGAAGGAACAGCUUGUUUUUGUUGCUGGGUUCAUUGGAUUUGAGCAAAUACACGGACUGCUGCUGAGUAAGGUGUUUGGAGGAGCAGAUGCACAGCUUAAGGAUAGCAUGCAAGCAAAUAUGCUUUGGUUUAUUUCCCUUCCGCUGUCUGCUCUUGAGAUCAGCGUUAAGUCUUGUGAUCGUGCGUGUGAAAAAAUCUCUCGGAUUUUAUACUUGAAAUCCCCCCCCCCAAAGUCCUCUUGGUUAUUUACCAGCGAUAGGCUAUUAGUUAUGUUU